CUUCAUUUCAUUCUGUUUUUUUUUUCUCUCAAUAUUCUUAAUCAAAAGCUAAUUUUCCUUGAGAUAAUACUGCACUAAAAGUCAUCCCAGAACCUUUUCUGUUUAAAGACUACCUAAUGCUGUUUGAUUAGGAAUUGUCCUGCUUAGAACAUUUCUUUGUUUUUCCAAAUUACUUGAUAUAUCUCAUAUUUUACCUUCACUUGUUGGCUGUUUUCUCCUGUUACAUCCUUUCUUUGAUGCGUGACCGCUAUGCUAUUGUCCUAUACUCCUAUAGGUUAUUUGUUAGCUUAACUAUGGGCGUUUCUCCUUUAUUAUACAGUUAUUUCAGUGCUUCUGAGGCCCCACCAACCAGCUUGAUGUGCUUUUAGUAGGAGAUUAAACUACUACGGAGUAAGAAACAUGUGUCAGGUGUUUCUUCUUUAUAAAUACUUAGUCAGGAAAAAGCAUUAGAACUUGUUCAUUUUUUAUGGAAAAAUCAUUAUGGGAAUAAAUAUUAUAUAACCAAAAUGCCCUGUUCCUGGGAAAAUCACGGCGAGCAAAACGAACCAUAACCAUUUAGAGUAUGCCAUUUAAAAUAUUUCCACUGUUGGGUAUUUGGGUUUAAGUGCUGAACAUUAAAUCAUAUUUGCCUCAGCAAAACCUCAAGUUCAAAAAUAAAAAGAAAACAAAAGAGGAACGAAAUGAAGAUAUGAUCCUGUGAAAUUGAAUUGUAAACUAAUGAUUGAUAAUCCAAUGUGGUUGAUGAUAUGUGUUAUUGAAGCGAACAUAUGUGGAGGUUUAUUAGGGGGUACGAGUAUUUGAGAUUCUGACCAAAAUGGUUACAAAUUGGCAUUGGAACAUUCUCUUUAUUUCUUUAAAGGGAAACUGAGAAAGUAUAACUUUCUGAAUUGUCUUUAUUGUUUUUAACAUUGAACUCAAAGGGUAAUGAUCCAGAUAUUGUUUAUGUUACCUUUACUUUCUUUUUGUUUGUUCUUCUGUUUGUUGAUUAAUUUUUUAUUUUAUUUUAUGUUUUGUUUUGGUUUUCAUUUUAAGGAAUUAAGGGAACAAGUUUUAAAAUACUGGAAACAGGUUUUUGCAGUGGAGGUCACGAGUCACGACUACAACAAAUCAUUUGCCUGUAUGACUUUAGUUUGAGAAGGUUCAAAAUGGAGAUUGCCAAAUACACUGUAAUAAUAAUUAAAAAGCACCUCAGAAAGCAGAAAGCAGAAAGCAGAAAGCAGAAAGCAGAAAGGGGUUUUUGUUGGUCACUUGGUGGCCAAUUGAAAACUUGUAAUUAAGGGAAGAGGUUGGGAAAGUAGAGGCUAUGUGUUUAGCUUUGAAAGGCUAUAUCCAUUAUUUACCACCCCUAGUAUUCCUUUUAAUGUACAAGUGUGUCAAUAAGUAAUGGAUAUGUAUUGAAUUAUCAAAAAACUCCUUUCUUGUACAUCUUUAUCUGUAAAAUCUCUCAUAUUUUUACAGAAUAAUUGACGAUGGACGUUGCAUUUUCGUUAGUCUGAUUCUACCUUGUGACUUUUUUUAAAUAAUUAAAAAUUUAUAUUCAAUGGAAGGGGCAUCAUAUUGUGGCAGUGGUAAAACUCUUAGUGGAAGGGGAAUCAUAUUCAAUUAUUCAUG